UACAGAGGUCUCAAGCGUUGUUCGGAUUCAUUGGGCGUAAAGGGUGCGUAGGCGGCGCGGUAAGUCGGAUGUGAAAUCUCGGGGCUUAACUCCGAAACUGCAUUCGAUACUACCGUGCUUGAGGACUGGAGAGGAGACUGGAAUUUACGGUGUAGCGGUGAAAUGCGUAGAUAUCGUAAGGAAGACCAGUGGCGAAGGCGGGUCUCUGGACAGUUCCUGACGCUGAGGCGCGAAAGCUGGGGGAGCAAACGGG
rnacentral:rRNA from 1 species